UACGGGGGGGGCAAGCGUUGUUCGGAAUUACUGGGCGUAAAGGGCUCGUAGGCGGCCAACUAAGUCAGACGUGAAAUCCCUCGGCUUAACCGGGGAACUGCGUCUGAUACUGGAUGGCUUGAAUCCGGGAGAGGGAUGCGGAAUUCCAGGUGUAGCAGUGAAAUGCGUAGAUAUCAGGAGGAACACCUGUGGUGUAGACAGCUUACUGGACCAUAACUGACGCUGAGGCACGAAAGCGUGGGUAGCAAACAGG
rnacentral:rRNA from 1 species